UUCAUGUCAAGUCAUUGGUAGACAGAGGGGUCUCCAAGUCCCACCAUGUCAGGGGCUUAAACUCAGAGUCCCAUCACCAUAUCCACACUUUCUGCUGGGCUUCAGUUGGGAUCCAGAAAGAGAGGUGUUAUGACAGAGGACUGCAAUGGAGGGCAGCUGGAAACUGAGCAACCACAGAAGGCGAUGGUGGAGAGAAUGGCUCAGGAUUUGGUAAUUUUAUGCCAGGGGACACCAGCUCCUCUGGAGGAGCAGAUGGCAGAGCAGGAGCAGGUUCCGACGGAUUAGAACCCAUAAAAACAGGUAAGGGAGUCAGUGCUCUUUGCACCAGACUCCAGGUGGUUAACACCGCAAGGGGCACAGGAACCCCCUGACCCAAAUUCUUCUUUAAAAACUCCCCUACUCGCUCCCAGAGUUCCAAAUCUAAUGUGGCCUCAUUGGGAGCCCGGGCAAUGUCGCCUUACUGCGCGUAAGAGCUGCUGUAAGGCUUUCGGCUCAACAGAACACUGAGCAGCUUUUAGGAGCUGCUGCAAGGUGCGCAGAUAGAUUCGCUGAUGUUCGGUCAGCUCUUGCCCUAUGUCAGUAAUCUCCUCCCGAAACUGCACGCAUCGGUCCCUUUCCCAAAGCAGCGGGUGG